AUUAAAACACUAGCUCCCGUACGAUCACUGAAGUCUAGUGAUGUCAAGCCUGGUCAGUACGUAGAUGGGUGACUACUUGAGAAUACCAGGUGCUGUAAG